rnacentral:rRNA from 1 species
UACGUAGGGCGCAAGCGUUGUCCGGAAUUAUUGGGCGUAAAGAGCUCGUAGGCGGCCUGUCGCGUCUGCUGUGAAAUCCCUCGGCUUAACCGGGGAACUGCGUCUGAUACUGGAUGGCUUGAGUUCGGGAGAGGGAUGCGGAAUUCCAGGUGUAGCGGUGAAAUGCGUAGAUAUCUGGAGGAACACCGGUGGCGAAGGCGGCAUCCUGGACCGAUACUGACGCUGAGGAGCGAAAGCCAGGGGAGCAAACGGG